AGCUUUGUGCAGUGGCAGUAUCGUAGCCAAUUAGGUUUAUGUGAGAUGCAAUUAUUGCUAAUUGAAAACUUUUCCCAAUACCCCACCAAGAUAAUUUGAAAUAUAGUUGUCAUUGGCAACUUUUGGCAGUCCCUAUGGGGA
ensembl:snRNA U4 U4 spliceosomal RNA